GAUUAUUUAGUUUGUUUCUAUAUAUUGUAGUAUGUCACCUUUAACCCACACAAAUUAAUCCAGAACAUACAAAGAAGAUCAGAGGAAAAAGGCAACGAUUACUCCACCAACAUACGAGAAGCAAAUUUGGUAUGUAUCUGUAAUAUGUUUAAUUGUUUAUUGUAUCAGGCUGAAACUAGUGAUAUACUUUUCUUCUUUCUUCCUGUUUCUUUCUCUAAACCUUUGAAGAACCUGCAACAGCGAAAAAGGAAUAAAUAAACGAAUAAAACUGAAAUUUGAUAAUUGUGUUCAAAUGCUAAUGUGAUAAAAUAACAAGAGAGUGACAAUUUAGCUAAACCCAUCACCAGAUCCGUCCAUAAAAGUUUGGGGCCUGUAUUGAAAUCGCCCCAAGAUUAGUCACCCCAUCCCCUGGACUAAAGUAUCACUUACAGUAGCAGUGCAGUCAUAGUUUCAUUGCAGACAACGAAAGAUAAUAGAGAUAUUGUUAUGAUUGAACCAUUUUAUAUACGAAUUCAUAUUUGCUGGAAGUCUUAAACCUAAUACUUAGAUGGUCGCAUUUUAAUACCCGUGCGCUUAUCUUUCCCUAUCCAUCUCUCGAAUUCUUCCUCUCUACCCUUCGUCCAUCUCUCAAAUUCCAUUCUCUUUCCCUUUUACCCGAGAUUCGUCCAUGGUAGAGAUUUCAGGAGCCUUUAUAGUCACAAGGCGGAAGAUUGCAAAGCAGGGGAGUCUCACAUUGUGGGAUAUUAAUGGUUGUGAACUCACUGAUAUCUAGUUGGCCUUAUGUGGGAAAAAGAUGCAAAAUAUGCCAGAUUGAAAGAGGGAAUUGGUUAUUUGAUUAAAAAAAGUCCUAGAUGAUAUGAUUGUUGUGGGAGGUUUUGAAGUUGGGGAGGAGUGAUAAGGAUG
rnacentral:lncRNA from 1 species